rnacentral:lncRNA from 1 species
CUGCACUCUGAGAAUUAGAAAUGUGACGAAGAAUGACUCUGGAGAAUAUUGGUAUCGAUUUCUUAAUAAUGAAGGAAGGGGUUUCUCUGGUACUCCUGGAGUUAUUCUAAAUGUAACAGGUACUUCUCCAUAAUAUCAAAUGUAUUUUUUGCUUCUGUAUCUGACAGAAGCACAUAAUUGUCCUCUAUGUUAAUGUUCAGAUCUUCAGGUGAAAAUGAGUCCCAGCUCUCCAUCAGAAGGACAGACAGUAACACUGACCUGUAGCUCCACCUGCACUCUGCCCAACAACCCCACCUACAUCUGGUACAAGAACGGACAGCCUGUAACCAACAAACCCACCAGAUACAACAAGCUCUACCUGGAGUCAACAAGCCCUGAGCACGUUCUCCAGUAUUCCUGUGCUCUAGGAGAUUCUCCUAAAGGUGCAGAGGGGAGCACAAUGUUAAGACUGAUCACAGUGGCAGUGGCUGUGUUUCUGCUCCUAAUCCUCAUUGCAGGAGGGAUAUGUUUAAGGAGGAGGAAGUCCAACCCAGGACAGGAUAGCAAGAGAUCUAGAGAGACUGGGCAGGUGAGCAUGUUAAACCUAUUUUUAGAGGACUGUAUACCCAGGUAUUUAAUGAUAAAUAAGCAGAAAGGGGAUACCAGAGGGAUGACUUGGAAAUUCUACAGAAACCACUUGUAAUACCAUAGAAACACAAUAUAUAAAAAACACAUGGGAUUCCACAACAAUAUAUUUGAAUAGCAAACCAUCUAUUUCAG